UUGAUCUGCGUUCCAUUCGAAGCCUUAGAGAAACUCGGCCUAUCAAUAACCACAUUAGUCGCAUUCUUGUUGCAGGUUUCAAAUUUUCAAAUAUUGAAAAUUGUUGAUCCUAAGGUUUAUAAACCCAAAAUUUAACUGGAAACAAGAGUCUGAUCAGUUGCCAGUUGCCACCAAGUGUGUAUGGUUGUAUGAAGCACAAUAGCACAUGUGUGGUGAUGUUUGUGAUCCCUUUGCUUGCUUCGACACCAGUAAAUGAUGAGUUGAAUCUGAUAUGCAAAACAAAUAUAAUGAUGAUAAUGAUUAUCAAAAAAAAUAAAAUAAUGAUGAUGCUAUGAAAUCAACAAAAGAACAAAUCAUUAUGCCAAGGAUCAUUAUGCCACAUAUUCUGAAAGCUUUAAAAACCGUUAGACGCUGAUCAAUCGUUUGAAAAUUCUGCUUCAUAGUCGUAGACGACAAUCAGUUAUAAUCUAUCCUAUAUUAAAAGGGACUAAUAAAGCUCUCUUAAAGUGUCUACGUCCUAAAAUAAAUUCAACCAAUCAUGUUUUUUUUUUAAACACGUCAGCUGAGCGUAAAUUUGGGCAAGGUAAUUUAUAUGUAAUUAAAUUUGGACUUACCCAUCACGUUUGGGCUUGCUUUUUUUGCCCAAAUCGACAAAUGAAAACUGAAGUUGACGCCACAUGAACUCAUCAUCUUCCUCUCCACCUCUUCGUUUUCUCCGAUAUGAAACCUGAAGAAUUGAAAACAUUUGGAUUUAAAAGAAAAGAUUUGACAGUCUAAUCUCAAUCGCAUAAAGUAAAUCAAACCAAACUUCGCACAUCUUUCUCUCCGUUCGCCGUCACACAUCUUUCUCUCCGUUCGCCGUCGUCGCUCAUCUGAGAUCUCUCUCUUUACUCACCAAAGAUGCAUUCGAGCCAUCUCCUUCUCGAGGAGCCAAUCAGGAUGGCUUCAAUCCUCAAGCCAUCCAAAUCCGUAAGCGAUCCAUUGAUCCAUAUUCGUAAGAGUUAUCUCUAAUCUCUCUCUCUCUCUCUCUCUCUCUCUCUCUUUCUCUCUCUCUUUUGAUGUCAUCAGAGUUUCUUUCCGGAAGCUUUGGCAACAAAAUCCAACUGAAAGUCCCAUGUCUCCACGUUUUUCUCGAUAAGGUUAAAGUGCCGUAGCGAUUGCUGUAAGGUGUGAAGAUAAAUGUCUGUCGAAUAUGAUCUCUGAAUGAAAACAUGAAGAAGUGUCAGUAUGCCGUAAGUGGUGAGUUUUCCCUAGAAGGAACAUUAUCUUCCCUACCCUCGCAUCUCUAAAAAGCCAUCAGGAUGAAUCACUACUCUGCAUAUACUGAGGAGUCUGGACAAUUAUAUGGGACUGCUUUGGCGUAGGACCUGCUCUAGCUGAAGGGUAGGGAGAUUGAAUAUGACUUCCUGGAACUGAAUAGCCCUGUACCGUUGUAUAACUGUGACCAACAGGGAUGUUUUGAUUCAGUUGCCCGUAUUGGUAGCCUGGUGAGUUAACUGCCUCAGGUACUCCAUAAACCUGAAGGUGCUUACAGUGACUCAAGAGGCCUUCUGGAAGCUAGGAAAGAGGUUGCUGAGUUCAUUGAAUGACUUGAUGGGUAUCCCAGUGAUCCAAAACUCAUAUUCUCCACUGAUGGAGCUAGCUAAGGUGUGAAACAAAUCUUAAACUGUGCUAUACGCAGUGAGGGAGACAUGCAAUAUGAAGAAGAGCAGGAGAGUGCAAGUGCCACCAAGAAGCUUCACCAGAAAAGGCAAUUCAUCACAAUUUAAGUAGAAAAAAUAUGAAGUAUGAUCAGAAGAAAUAAGGUGAUGAUGUGAUGAAUGCAUGUCUUAUAUGCCCUCAAGAGAUGGAUGCAGCAGAUCUAAGCUUCUUACCAUGUCCUUGCAGAUUUUGUCUAUAUCUCUUCUCCUCUAUGCAGAUCAAUCAAAACGAUGGACGUAGCCCACGACUCUGAGCUUCCCCAAACAAGUAUGAGAAGACAAGUAGUAAAAGUGCUUUAUGUUUUAGUUAUUUCCUUAGUAUCUCAGUUGCACAUAGCAUGUUGUUUGUCAAUAGAGUUUGUGUCAGUGACGUUGUUGCAUCUUUUGAAACUUUAAAGCUUAAUAAAAGUGAAAGAUCGUUGAUAUGUUAUCGAUGAAGUCGAAUGAAUGUUGCUACCAUUUAUCUUUUUCUUUAAAAUCAAAUCAAAUGGGUUGAUUGUCCACUGCGUUUAUUAAAACGUUUUCCCGAUACUAAAGGAGUUGUGAAUGUCUUAAUAUGCUAAACAAAUCUUCAGAAGUAGUUUGAUUUUGCAUAAUAAGAAACUGUAGUAGCAGGUUGGAUCGAGGAAAGGAUUCAAAGAGAAAGAAUAAUAAUAAAAAGAUUGAGAUCCGAGAAAAAGACCAAAAGGUUUGAACAAUACACAUAAUCAAUCCCCUGGACAAAAAAGAUUGUUCAAAACAAAUGUUUUCUACUACUAUUACUUUUAAAUAAUCUCCACACGAAGGAGAAUAUUUUUUGUAUUACAGAAGGGAAUUUGUAAAUUUGAAAACGUUAUUGGGUCCACGUGUUUUUUUAAUAUUCAAAAUCAUAAAAUUUCAAGUUUUCGUUAAGAUUAUGAGACUUUCAAUUAUACACAUAAAACUGUAUGUUUUAGCGGAAAUUUAUUUUUUCAAAGAUACAUUUUUGUAUUUUCAAUACAUUUUAUUAACUAAUAAUGAUAAAUUCUAAAUUUCAAAUACUAAUUGCAUUUCUUGACUUCUUACCGGUUUAGAAUUAUAAGAAAUAUAAAUCACAAAAUAUAUAUUUAUAACUAAGACUUAAAUAAAUAUAUAUUCACAAAAAUAAGAUUUAAUAUGUGUAAAAAUUGUAAAACAUAUAUGAUUUGCAACAGAGGGAGUAGUAUAUUAGAGUUUUAGAUUAGUAGUUGGUGUAAAAUCAAUUAUACACACUUGACUCUCAUUUUAAUAUAUAUGUAACUAUUGUGAAUGUACGAAAAAUUUAAUUAUUGUGAAUGUAAGAAAAUUUAGCAUUUAUGGUAAAUGAAGUUUUAAGCAAUUAUAUUUUAAUUGAGUAUAAAAGUACAUAUUAAAAUUUUUUUUGAUAUAAUCUCUUAUGAAAUUCAAAAAUUACUACUAUUUUCAUUUUAAUUUAAUUGUUGUUGUAGAGUAAAUUGUUUGUUUCAAGAUAAAUGUUGUUUUAGAAUUUAAAUACAUAAUUGAUUAACUUUAUAUGUUAUAUGAUUUUUGUAUUCUUCAGUCUAUUUUUUACUGAUUGAAAUGUGAUUAAGUGUAUAACUAAUGAUAUUUUAUUUUAGUAAUAUACAAAAUUAAUUUUUUUUUUACAUCUGUAUGCACAAAUCGAAAAUGACAAUUAAAAUGAAACAUAAUUAGUAUUAUAAAAACAUUACAUUCACCUUAAACAUUGUUAGUCCUUUUAGGUGUGUGAUCAUGGAAGAAUAACACUCAUUGCUGGCCAAUUGGUUAAUGCAUCAAAUGUCUAAAAAAUUAUAUUAAUAGAAAACUACAAAAAAAUGUCUAAAUUGUUUUAAAAUAAUAUGCAAACAAUAUUUGUUUUAGAAUUAAUAUAGUACACUAUUAUAUGUUAGAAACAGACUUUUAAAUCCUGAUAUAUUAGAAAUUGCUAAAUUUGUUUUAUUGAAAUUCAAUAUUAUAUUAUCACACAUUUUAAAAAUGAUCUCAGUUCUAUUUCCUAAGAUAAGUAUAUAAUAGUCAAUUGGAAAAUGUUAAUGUAAACCUAGAACAAAAUUAUUAACUGUGUAACUUGAUCAGAAUUGUUUUUGCCAUGCAUUGACUUAAAGUGAUAUUUUAGUCAUUUUCAAGUAAAUGAAUCAAAGAUACACAACUAUAAUAUGAAAAAAUUAAUACGCAAUGUCAAUUCCUCAUAUUUAUCAUAUUAAUUGUUGUCUUCCGCACUAUUGGUUUCAAAUAAUAAUAACCUAUUAUAUAACCAAAUAAAUAAAUUUGAUACGGCUUAAGGAAAUUUUUUCAUAUAUACAAUAAAUAAAACAAAACAACAGUAAAAUAUUAAUUUGAAAUAAAACAAAAAAUGACUACUCUAAAUUUAUAAUGAAAAAGUACAAAAAUUGUAAAAAAUAGAAAUU